rnacentral:lncRNA from 1 species
CGGCAACAACUGGUACUGCUCCAGCUCCUGCACCAGCACCUGGGCCCUUCUCCAACACAGACCCGAACCAGGAAGAUCCGGAUAAAGACACUGUCUGCACUCUACUCAGAUGCCCUUUGAGUCUAUGCGCUGUUUCUGGGCUCAUCCUCCAGCCUCAACGUGUUUGCUGCCACACAGCAUGUCCUGUGGGACUGGAGAAAUAUGGAGAAUGCAGCACACUUGCUUCCUACUGAAAUUCAGAUAUACAUGAAAAUCAUUUUGCAUAAUGAAGGAUUAAAAUCAAAUUGUUUUGGGACAGCAGAGGAUGAAGAAACUCAUUUUGACUGAAGUUAUUGGAUGAGACAUGGCUGUGGACAACUUCAGAGAAGAUAUAUUUAAGCAGAACCUUAAACUUAUGUCAGAAUUUUUAAUCACCAGAGAUCAGCAAAGCCAAAGGCAUAUAGACUAUUUCUCAGAUGCACUUGUCAAGAUGAGAGAAUGUGGGCAGAGGAAAUCCCUGAAAAACCAGAUGGCAGAAGUUACUCAGAAGAAAUGAAAGGAUUUUCCAUUAUUCAAAUAGGAGGUGGAAGAGGAAGUGUGGGAGUAAUUACUGGAUUAAGAUCACUGAAAGACAAGAUUGUCUUUAAGGAAACAGAAGACUGAGAAGAAAAGAAGCUUGCUCAAGGUCACAUAGAGCUGGAAUUUAAAUUCAGAUCUAUUAUACUCUUAAGGACUGUGGAAGGUUCUAGAGGCUGGAAGUCGAAGAUCAAAUGCUGGCAAGGUCAAUUUGGAAAAUCCUGGUUUGUUAUCACAGUGCUUCUUAUUAACAUAUUUCCGAGUUCCUUCUUGAAUGAAGUUUGAGAAUUAAUCUUUUAUGGGAGGAGGUCUGUUUCAAGGAGGGCAGGUCUAUGCAAACCUUACACCAAAGUUUGAGGAAGCUGAAAGGCUGAAGAAAGAGGCUGACAAACCCAGUUUCUUAGGAGAAAACACUUAACAGAGACUUACAAACAAGAGCUAUGUUUGUGUCUCCAGCAGUGGUGAGACAAGAUGGUGGAUCUCCAUGCCAUUACCCCUCAGAACCAGGACUUAUCUACCACAGAGAAGGGGUUGUUCAGAAGGGAUGUAUAGGACAACUGAAGUAUGAUAACUUCGAGGUUGUUUGACCUAAGAACAGGAUUUGUAGUAAGUACCUGGUAUUACACAGGAACCAUAGAUAAACUGGAAAUCCUAGAGGCCCUCCCAGAACUAGGGUUAAUCAGAAGCCAACAUGGUGGAUUAGCAUCCAAAGUGGACUUGCUUUAGCCUCUACAGAGUCUCAAAAAUAAUGAAAUUCUCUUAAACUUUUGCAAUCUCUUUACGCAUAUGAAGAGAUAAUAAGCCAGGAAUAUCUCCUGUGCAUUGCAGAGACAUAAAGCCCUAGCAAAAGCUGCUCUACCCUUCCAUAUAUGUCCUUGACUUUGCAGCAUCACCAUCAUUGCCUAGUCAAUGUCUGGUCUUUUCUCUAAUUUCUCGUUUUGUUCUAAUUCCCAGUCUUUGGAAUAUCUAGACCUUGACAGAGAUUUAUAUACAUUUCAUGUGUUUCACCUAAGGUGGUUUGCAUUCUCUGCCACACAUGGGUUCAUAGGAGGUCACAGCCCUAAAAACAAUAACCUUUGAUGGGGUUCAGGACACACUACCCUAAAAUAUGCCACCUUGGCUUUGGAGCAAACAGCAGAAACAGGGAGAUCACUCUCACCUUCCCCUUACCCUUCUCCCUUUGUUACAGUAGGUAAUAGGCAGAUAUGAGCAGGGCAAGAAAGGGCUCCCCUCCACAACCAGGAAUGUCAAGCAACCAUCAGGUGAUGGUCAGGCGGUUGUUACACUGUCUCUCCAAAAUAAAAGUUGGUCACAGCUGGCACUAAGGAAUGGCAGUCUCCCAAUAGAUAGAAAAAAACCUGAAACUAGUGAACAGCAGCUUUCUGAUAAGAUCUCAGGAGUUGGGCAAGUGGGCUCAAGCAGGUGCACUAAGAGGCAAAAGGGCAAGGUUUAACUGGUACAUGAAGUUUUAGGGACAUUCAACUGGUAAGGGAAGGGCGCCUCAAGUGAGCAUGUGCACAACUCCAGUGAACACACCAUGCAUGCAGUCCCUCCCAAGUGCUGGCAGGCCGCUGUGCAUGCAGACAGCCCACCUCAAGGGAAGAAUCAGGGGAGACAUAACACAAGACCCUGGAUGCAUGCCACCAUAUAAAACCCCAAGCCAAAGGUCAAACCAGGCACUUAACUCUUUCAAGUCACCCACUUGGCCCUCUUCCAAGUGUACUUUACUUCCUUUUAAGAGGUGAAGCCAGCUGGGCUUCUGGGUCGGGUGGGGACUUGGAGAACUUUUGUGUCUAACUAAAGGAUUGUAAAUGCACCAAUCAGCGCUCUGUAUCUAGCUAAAGGAUUAUAAAUGCACCAAUCAGCACUCUGUAAAAUAGAACAAUCAGGAGGAUGUGGGUGGGGCCAAAUAAGGGAAUAAAAGCUGGCCACCCGAGCCAGCAGCGGCAACCUGCUCAGGUCCCCUUCCAUGCUGUGGAAGCUUUGUUCUUUUGCUCUUCACAAUAAAUCUUGCUGCUGCUCACUCUUUGGGUCCACACUACCUUUAUGAGCUGUAACACUCACUGCGAGGGUCUGCGGCUUCAUUCCUGAAGUCAGUGAGAUCACGAACCUGCCGGAAGGAACAAACAACUCCGUAUGCACCACCUUUGAGAGCUGUAACCCUCACUGCGAAGGUCUGCAGCUUCACUCCUGAAGUCAGCGAGACCAAAAACCCACCAGAAGGAAGAAACUCCAGACUCAUCUGAACAUCUGAAGGAACAAACUCUGGACACACCAUCUUUAAGAACUGUAACACUCACCGCAAGGGUCCGCAGCUUCAUUCUUGAAGUCAGUGCGACCAAGAACCCACCGGAAGGAACAAAUUCCAGACACACUUUCAUUCCUGCCCUGAAACUUUUUAAUAAACUUUCACUCCUGCUCUAAAACUUGCCUCAGUCUCUCACUCUGCCUUAUGUCCCAUUGGUCAAAUUAUUUCUUCUGAGGAGGCAAGAAUUGAGGUUGCUGCAGAACCGUACAGAUUCACUGCCACUAACACCCUGAAGCAGGUCAUAAAACCUUCAUUCUAGAGUUGCCCCCUGUACCCAAUGAAAAGAAGUAUUCUUAUCCUUGAAGCCACAGAGGUGCCAAGAAGAAUCUGAAAAAAAGACAUUGUUAAAGUCCCCGGUUUAUUACCAUUAGAUCAUACCUCC